rnacentral:rRNA from 1 species
CUCGUAGGCUGCCAACUAAGUCAGACGUGAAAUCCCUCGGCUUAACCGGGGAACUGCGUCUGAUACUGGAUGGCUUGAGAUCGGGAGAGGGAUGCGGAAUUCCAGGUGUAGCGGUGAAAUGCGUAGAUAUCUGGAGGAACACCGGUGGCGAAGGCGGCAUCCUGGACCGACACUGACGCUGAGGAGCGAAAGCCAGGGGAGCAAC